GCAUUGUACAGGUGUAGUUUUAGGCUGCCUCUUGUGUUAUGUGGGCUGUCUUCUAUAUUGUGUAUAUGUGGCUGUCUGUAAGGUGGGAUGACUGUCAGGUCAUCCACUAAGCUAAGGAUAGGGUUCCGCCGCAAUUUGCCCAUCGGGUGGCUCAUGCAUUUAGGGCCACCUGAUUGGUAUUAUCGUUGAACAGGGGCCUGGGUGGGUGCCAUGGC